GAUGAACGCUGGCGGCGUGCCUAAUACAUGCAAGUCGAGCGAACAGACGAGGAGUUUGCUCCCCUGACGUUAGCGGCGGACGGGAGAGUAACACGGGGAUAACCUACCUAUAAGACUGGGAUAACUUCGGGAAACCGGAGCUAAUACCGGAUAAUAUAUUGAACCGCAUGGUUCAAUAGUGAAAGACGGUUUUGCUGUCACUAAUAGAUGGAUCCGCGCCUCAUUAGCUAGUUGGUAAGGUGACGGCUUACCAAGACAACGAUGCGUAGCCGACCUGAGAGGGUCUUCGGCCAGCCUGGAACUGAGCCAGGUCCCCGACUCCUACGGGAGGCAGCAGUCGGGAAUCUUCCGCAAUGGGCGAAUGCCUAACGGAGCAACGCGGCGUAAGUGAUGAAGUUCUUCGGAUCGUAAAACUCUGUUAUUAGGAAGGAACAAAUGUAUAAGUAACUGUGCACGUCUUGACGGUACCUGGUCAGAAAGCCACGGCUAACUACGUG
rnacentral:rRNA from 1 species